rnacentral:rRNA from 1 species
UGAGAAUCUGCCCUCAGGAGGGGGAUAACGGUUGGAAACGACCGCUAAUACCCCAUAUGCCUAUUGGUGAAAUGAAUUUCGCCUGAGGAUGAGCUCGCGUCUGAUUAGCUAGUUGGUGAGGUAAUGGCUCACCAAGGCUUCGAUCAGUAGCUGGUCUGAGAGGAUGAUCAGCCACACUGGGACUGAGACACGGCCCAGACUCCUACGGGAGGCAGCAGUGGGGAAUUUUCCGCAAUGGGCGAAAGCCUGACGGAGCAACGCCGCGUGAGGGACGAAGGCCUCUGGGCUGUAAACCUCUUUUCUCAAGGAAGAAGAUAUGACGGUACUUGAGGAAUAAGCCACGGCUAAUUCCGUGCCAGCAGCCGCGGUAAUACGGGAGUGGCAAGCGUUAUCCGGAAUUAUUGGGCGUAAAGCGUCCGCAGGCGGCUUUUCAAGUCUGCUGUUAAAGCGUGGAGCUUAACUCCAUCAUGGCAGUGGAAACUGAAGGGCUUGAGUAUGGUAGGGGCAGAGGGAAUUCCCGGUGUAGCGGUGAAACGCGUAGAUAUCGGGAAGAACACCAGUGGCGAAGGCGCUCUGCUGGGCCAUUACUGACGCUCAUGGACGAAAGCCAGGGGAGCGAAAGGGAUUAGAUACCCCUGUAGUCCUGGCCGUAAACGAUGAACACUAGGUGUCGGG